rnacentral:rRNA from 1 species
AUUGAACGCUGGCGGCAGGCUUAACACAUGCAAGUCGAGCGUGCGGCGGACGGGUGAGUAAUGUCUGGGAAACUGCCUGAUGGAGGGGGAUAACUACUGGAAACGUUAGUUAAUACCGCAAACCAUCAGAUGUGCCCAGAUGGGCUUGGCUGGUAGGUGGGGUAAUGGCUCACCUAGGCGACGAUCCCUAGCUGGUCUGAGAGGAUGACGAGCCAAACUGGAACUGAGACACGGUCCAGACUCCGACGGUAGGCGGAGGUGGGGAAUAUUGGAAAAUGGGCGCAGGCCGGAUGCAGCCAGGCGGCGUGUGUGAAGAGGGCCUUCGGGUUGUAAGGCACUUUCAUCGAGGAGGCGUUAAUCGAAGAAGAAGCACCGGCUAACUCCGUGCCAGCCGCCGCGGUAAUAC